rfam:Camelus ferus unplaced genomic scaffold scaffold532, whole genome shotgun sequence.
GAGGGUAUAGUUCAGUGGUAAGAGUGCCUGUUUAGCAUGCAUGAGGUCGUGGGUUCAAUCUCCAGUACCUCCA